ACCAUUUCACAACAGUGAAAGGAAGAGCCCAGAUGGCCAGGCUCAGAUGGUAAAGGCCUUUAGAAUCUGCCUUGAGGCUCUCAAUGGCUUUAGACUGAAAACCAUCUUGGCCCCAUCCACCAGUGUAAGGCAUUUAAUGACAGCCUGAAAGCACAGAGCUUAAACAGAAUGAUGAGCACAGGGCAGGACUUUGGACUCCAGAAGAACUGCCUAAGCACAGAUAAUUCUUCUACAGUAUUUGAGGAGAACAAACGAGGAGUGGACCAAUUCUCAGCUCUUCCAGCAACUUCCUGACUUUCUAAGGCUUCCAGAACACAAACUGGGAAUGGGGUGUCCCCCGUUUUGAGAAUGGCCAAUGCAUGGUUUGUUCUCUGAUGGCCAUGUCUGUGUAACGUGGCACUGUCCUGGCCUUAGCUGACCAGUCCUGUGGUGCACCCUGCCUCAGUCUCCAGGAUUUUUCAAACAGAUCUGAGGAAGUAGGAUCAGUCUCUUUCUGAUGGUGGAAUCUUCGGCAGCCACAUUCCCUGCCAAUCUGCAGUAGGGGAGAAUGGAACUAAUGUGCAGAAAACACCCAGGUGAGCAUGAGGGGAGGGCCCUAAGAUCAUCUGAAGCCACGGCACUCUGUUGCAU